CCUACGGGUGGCAGCAGUGAGGAAUAUUGGUCAAUGGGCGGGAGCCUGAACCAGCCAAGCCGCGUGAGGGAAGAAGGUACAGCGUAUUGUAAACCUCUUUUGUCAGGGAACAAAGGCGGGGACUCGUCCCCGGAUGAGGGUACCUGAAGAAAAAGCAUCGGCUAACUCCGUGCCAGCCGCCGCGGUAAUACGGAGGAUGCGAGCGUUAUCCGGAUUUAUUGGGUUUAAAGGGUGCGCAGGCGGCCUGUUAAGUCAGCGGUAAAAGGCCGGGGCUCAACCCCGGCGAGCCGUUGAAACUGGCGGGCUGGAGUUGGAGAGAAGUACGCGGAAUGCGCGGUGUAGCGGUGAAAUGCUUAGAUAUCGCGCAGAACCCCGAUUGCGAAGGCAGCGUACCGGCUCCACACUGACGCUGAGGCACGAAAGCGUGGGUAUCGAACAGGAUUAGAUACCCGGGUAGUC
rnacentral:rRNA from 1 species